GAAGGUGCAGGUGGAGACGAAGUAAAGUGUGAAAAGGGAUCUGGAGGGAGACAAAGAUGUUCACACACAGUGUAACUACUGCGGUGCCCGUCACAAAACGAGAAGUGAAUCAGAGAGAAUCACUGCAGACACUCCGAUUGGACUGAUAAAGACAAGAGCAAUAAUCCAGACACUGAAGUCAAUCUGGAAUCCAGCUGGAUAAUUGCAGAAUGCCACACAAGAUGACGGAUUGACGACCAGAUGAGCCUAUGGAUGCUCUCACAUCAACGAACACGAAAAAGCAGAGCGAUCACAACAUAAAUAGACAGAUUGCAGGAUGGAUGAAUUGAUAGAUCUUUUAGAGAAGGUCAAACUUCUGUGCGCACACUCUCAAACCAUCGUGAAAAGAAGAGAAAUUGAUUGCCGCUCACAAAAGGGUUGAAAUGACCAAGAAAUUAUUUUUCUGGGCAAUGAACAUUGUGAGUGAGUGUGAGAGAGAGGGAGAGAAAGGGGGGAAAAUGCCCAGCCUUUUUGUAUGAAUUGUCUCAGAAGUAACUAUAGUCAUCUUCGAGAUGUUGCCAGUGUUCUGGUCAAAUGGCCACUCUACCAGACCAGACCGGAGCGGUUUCGAGUUUCAGCACCUCAUCUGAAGUUUGGCCUCGAACGUAGCCUUCGCAUUUUCGCCAAAGGAGAUGGUCAUGAUGUCAUCAUUUCACCUGUCAAGAAUCUGUCAAGGUUGCCUUGGAGACCAUUGGCACCCCUGGAUCCCUUGUGCCCCGUGGCACAAGCUUUCGAUUGUGGAUAUCACGGUUCCUCGAUUGAUGGACGCCUCCAAUCCACACUGUAUUACCCUGCUGGGGUGACAAAGAAGACAUCUAACGCUCCCAUCCCUUUCCACAGUGCAAAUAAAGACAUCUGGGGGGAUGAAUGCUUCUUUAAUCAUAUGACGUCUGUGUGCACCAAGCCGUUCAAACGGCGCGCCACUAAUGGACUGCUGAUGAAUAGACAAAGGGAACAACCAUCCACAGUGAGCAGAACAAAUAGGCCUCCAGCACAAAUGGAGAUGUAAGUGAACCCACUCACUCACGUUUGGAUAUGUAGAUUGGGGUUCAGAUGAUCACACCCGCAGACAGAGAUGAAUAUACGGGCUCGUGAGCAAAUAAACACGUCGAGCCUUUUUGUGAGCUCACAGAGAGGCCAUUACCACGAAUCCGCAUGCUAAUCAUAAUUAAUCACUUACUUAUUAAACGUUAAUUGCGCUGCGCAAAUGUAUCCUCGCCCAGAAAUGGCCCGGUAUUGAAGCUGCUGGGCCUAGACAGGGCGAUAUUAAUUUAUUCUUACUUAUUAAUUUCCCUAAUUAAAACAACAAGACCUAGAUAUAUAAGUGUAUUCUUUGCGUAAUAAAUGAGGGGUUUUGAAAAGCAAUAGUGAGUCAAGCGCGUCGCUGUACAAACCGUAAAUCAUCUUCUCGGAGUUGAUUCAUACUCUUCAUCAUCUCUGAGCCAAACGAACGUAUUAAGAAGAUGGCACCCGAGUCUGUAUAAUUACGCACAUCCUUUACAAAAAAAUACAUAAAUUCAUUUAGAUGAACGGUUUUACUCCUAAUAGAACUUGCUGAUCUUUUUCCACUAAAGCUUAAUCAUCUAUCUAAUAGGAUCAGGAUGUGUUGCCGCUUUGCAAGCCUCUCCGAAACUUAACAAUGCCUCUUUAGGAAGAGUUUGCCACUCACGGCAGAAAUUGUUUCAUUUAGACUCAAACUGUUGGCAUGUUGCAGAUAUUUUAGUCUAGUUCUCGAUUGUGGGUUAACUUAAUGAGUGCCCCUUGUCCCCCCACCCCACCCCUGCCUCGGUUUUCUCCAUGCAUUUUUAUUGGUUUCCUCAUUUCUUUUUCUCCACUUCCAAAAUGGUCCACCUGAGCGGGCUAAGCGAGGGCGGGGUGCCGUAAUAGCGCUAAUGCCCAGUAAUACGGGCCAGAUAUUAUAAUCUAAGCGCUGUCACAACGCGUUAGCCGUCGCAGACUGACGUGUCAAUGCUAGUGAACGCAGGUGAUAUGGCGGGGCAGGAAGCGCGGCCCGGUAAUCGUCUAACACAGACACGUUUAUUUUGAGUCUCGCUCUCUCUCCCUCUCUCUUCCUCCCUCGCGCUCGCACGCCGUCUUUCGCGAGGUUUUGAGCGCGUGAAGGCUAACGACCCGUGCGCGCUCCUGCGGUCACGGUGCGGUGCGCGCUUCGUUGGUGAUUUAUGCGCGUGUGUAAUUGAGUGUUAAUAAAAGGUUGUCCGUAGCGCGUGUAAUUGUGUGUUCAAGACUUUCUGUGUGCGAGCGUGGAUGUAAUUGGGUGUUAUCGAUGUUGCGCGCGCGUUUGUAUGAGGCUGGGCGCGCGCUUAUACGUGUUUUUUUUCCUACUGGUUCUGUUCCAGUCUCUUAUUCGUGUUCCGUAUGCUGUAUCGCCCUUUAACAGACCAGAGGCCACAUACACUAGAGGGCAUUCUAUACGUGGUAUCAACACUUGUAUGGCUCAGUCGAAGCUUUUUUCCAGCUCAUUAUUUCUGACAGCAGCAAUUUAGAUUAUUUAUUUUUACUAUGCUUUAUCACACGAGCAAGACUGAAUCUCAGCACAGAUGUGUGAACUGGCUUUAGUGCUCUGCACUUUGUUGAUAUUCAAGAGGCCUUCUGUAGCAUUGUGGUGAAAGUGAUACUGCUUUUAUAUAGCAGCUCUAAAUGAAGCUGUUAACAUCAGUAAUUUAAUAUCCAGGUAUAAGACAAAAAGUGUUCUUCUCUGCAAACCAAAAUAUUUUUAAAUGAAGCCAAAGUAAUCUGGUCAGUAUAGCAUAGCCCAGGGCUUCUUAAAUCUUUUCUCCCGUCUUAAAGGACAGAGAGGCGAUGCCUUGCAAAAUUUAGCUCGAACCCACGUACCUGUCAUUUUCUAGGGAUCCUGAAGACCUUGAUGAACUUGCUCAGGUGUUUUGAUUAGGUUUGGAGGACACUGGCACUCCAUGGCAAGAUUCGAGGAACCCUGAUGUAGCCCGUGAGUGGAGCGACGAGUCACCUUCAGUCACCGGUCACCUUCUUUCACAAUCAGCCUGCUCUAGUUCCACUCCUGCACUGUAUAUGAAAAAAAAAAUCAAAAGUUGAGAAGACUUAAUCGAUAUAGGCAACCAGCUUUAGGAGUUUUCUCAAUUUGUUGUUUUCAGUUUCUACAACAAAACCCCCCCCAAAUCCCUUACCAAAACAAGUGAAGAAGUGAGUUUUUAAGGGGUUAAUAAAUCCCAGAGAGGAUAAAAAAAAGCUUUGUUCUAUGAAUGUGGGGUAUUUGCGUCAUUCAGAGGUAUAAGUAUAAUACAGUAUGCCAUAUUGUGCUAAAAAAUAAAAUGUUUAACUGGCUAAAGAA